rnacentral:lncRNA from 1 species
ACCAAUCCCUAUCUACAAAAACAGUUUUAUUUUAGGAACUCCUUGAUUUUAAACUCCUAAUCUUUGUUCCACUGGAUGGCUUGAAUCUUUUCCAAGAUAGUUGAUGAGGGUAAACAUCCUCUCAGGAUAAAGAUGAGUGAUGCUCUUCAAAGAUUUUAGCAAAAGCAGAGCUAAUAGCAUCUGUAUAAAUAUAGAAAUGGAAAACUUAGCUAUUUGCUUGCAGCUUUAAAUUCUGAAUGAUUUCCUUUUGACUAUUCAUUAGGCAAUUAUGAUAUUUACAUAUAAAGCUUAAUUUUUUAAAAUGCUUGUAUAUCAUUAUUUUCUACAAGCAAAGAUACUAUCCAGCAUUAAAAAUAGAACACUUAUUUCACAG